rnacentral:ncRNA from 2 species
AUGCUUGAUAGAGGCGCAGUUUUCAAGAGUAGGCUUUCUGAAAAGUUUGAGCUUUAAUGACGAAAGUUGAAAGGGGAAACUGCCGAAGGUUGUAUCUGCUCAAACAGAUACAAUCUGGUUAUACGGUUAAGAGCUGUAUAACUGUCAUCAAUUUAUUUGAUGGAGCGCUAUCAGUUCA